AAGUCGUAACAAGGUCUCCGUUGGUGAACCAGCGGAGGGAUCAUUGUUGGAACGCGCUUCGGCGCACCUCCAGACAAACCCUUUGGUGAACUUAUACCUAUACUGUUGCCUCGGCGUCAGGCUGGCUCCCCCUCGGGGGGAUCCCUCACCAUCUCGGUGAGGAGCAGGCCCGCCGGCGGCCAAGUUAACUCUUGUUUUUGACACUGAAACUCUGAGAAUAAAAUCAAAAAUUGAAUCAAAAC
rnacentral:misc_RNA from 1 species